rnacentral:rRNA from 9 species
CAGACCUCUAAUCGGAAAAGACUACCCGCUGAGUUUAAGCAUAUCAAUAGCCGGGAGGAA